AUCGACAUCAAAACAUUGGGUUCUCUAGAGGAAGCUCGAAAUACGGGAGAAUCACGCUGCACAAAUGUGGACGUGAGAAGCUCAGAUAGUGCAAUUUCUCAGAAAGAAGUGACUAACCACUUAUCUCACAAUAAUCAUGGUAGCUGCAAGGUCUAAUGAGCAAGGUAAACAUGUAUAUCUAUUUUGGAUUGAUUGACAGAUAUAUAGAAGCUACAAGGUCUAAUAACCAUAACUUAACUCUCCCCGUCCCUUUUAUGUUACAUCGUUUGCUUUUUCAAAAUUGACAGGACUUAAUUUUUAGCCAUAACGUAUGAUGAUACUGUUAUAAAGUGUAAUGGAAGGGAGGCAAAAACUAAUUUGAGCUAAGCACAAAUAGGAGGAACAUUGGCUUUAAAUUAUCAAAAUUCAUUUCAUAAUUUUGAUCUAAGCACGUAUGAUUGGGUCAAUGAAUACUUACCCUAUGCCCAGAAUAUUGAUUUUAAUCCCUUGACUUACCAUGGUUAGGUAAAUACAUUUCAUAUUUGCACAUAGAUCCUCAUUGUUUUUAGCCGAGGGUGUAUGAUGGCUGGCAUGACAUCACAUGGCAAAUAGGAAACUAUGAACUCUGGCAUCUCUAAUAUGGUUUGACUAGACAUAGUGGAGCCAUGGUAUUUCAGUUACAUGCUUUUCAUAUAUAUUUUUUGUACUCAUCAACUUAUGAGAUAUCUUAAAAUAUUGGUAAUUUAUAGUUUAAUCAAUAAGCGAUAUUUCUUAGUUACAUAUAUUUUAUGAAGAAAUCUCUUUCUAUCACAAUGAGAAGUAAAUGACCUCAUGGCCCUUGAAUGCUGGCUAAUCGGCCUCUUCUUUGAAACGGGGAAAAUACCAGUAUCAUUCUCAUAUUAAAGGUAUACUCUUUGCCAAAUUUUGUUUCACCAUUUUUUAUUUUUGUCGAGUCCCAAAUGUAGCAUUGACAAGCAAGUAAAAUAAGUUUAACUGCCAUGGUUUGUCAAAUUUUUGAAUAGAUUUAAGCUUUUACAACGCAAUGUACAAUUUUAUUUAGACCACUGAUUAGAAAAUGUCAAUUUUUGUGUAAACUAAAAUUGUUCUUACGAAAGUAUUAUAACGCUUUUAGUAGGCUUUGAAUGUAUUAAAUUUUAACUUUUAAGUGCCUAAUUAUUAUCAAACACCUCUUUUGCUACAUUAUAAAAUUUACUGUAAUGUGCAAUCUUCAUCACUUUUGCUUAUUAUAAGUUCAUGAUGAGAUGUUUAACGGGAAGUGGAAGACAUAGAUUCUCACGUGCUAUGGAAGAAGCCUUUGAUCUUAUAAUGGUCGGAAGGCGCCAUCGCUACGAUCUGCAACAAUUAUUAGGACUUAAUGAAUGGAAUGAUUUACCAGAACUUGGACCAGUUGGUGAUAUGCUUACUGCUGCAGAGAUAAAUAGACUAGUUUCAAGAUUGGUGGUGCAACAACAAAUUGUUAAGAACAAAUGAGAAAGUGAACCCUUUAUAGAGAAGCAAAUUGACCAUAUAAUACACAGUAAAACCUCUCUAUAACAGCCUCAUUUGUUCCAAUUUUUUUUGGCGAAGUGCUGUUAUUUAGAACAAAUAUUAUAAUAUAACAUAAAAAUUGAUUUAAAAAAUACUUGACUUUUAUAGUGAAUGUCUGUUAUAGAGAAAUCUGACUGUAUGUAAAUGGUUCCCCAGAUCAAGCAAAUUAUGCAUUGAUGUAGAUAUCUUUGUGCAUUUAUAGUAAUACCAUGUCUAUAUGUAAAUUAACAUUUAAAUUUUCAUAGCAUAUAACAACACACAUCUCUAAACCAGUUGCUCAACUUUCAUAAUUCCUUAGUUUAAUUUUCUUGGUGCUAGGCAUAACGAUAAGAGGACUCAUGAACUUUUUCAUGUGCCUCUCAUAAUAGAUUUAUAACCGAAAUUAGUUACGAAUUUUGUUGCUAAUCUGUCACUAUAGCUAACUGUAAUGUGCAAUCUUCAUCAUUUUGCUUAUUAUAAGUUCAUGAUGAGAUGUUUAAUGGGAAGUGGAAAACAUAGAUUCUUAGUGGUGAUUUGGUUUGAGAUGGAUUGACAAACUGAAGCAAGCAAUAAAAACUGAAUUCAGGUUUGUGUUCGAGGACAAUUAUGAUACUAGUACAGGAUACCACCAUUCCUUCAGGCAGAUAUGUUAUCAAUUUUAUAUAAAAGUUAUAUUUUCUUUCAAACUUCAAAUAAUUAUUUUUCCUCUGGACAGAGCAGACAUUACAUUUUUCCCUUCCGUUAUUUAUUGCCCUAAAAACAUGGGAGAUUAAGGAGAAGACCAGUACAAUUGUAAAAUAGAGCAUUCCAGAAUAAAGCAAGAGUACAACAAGCUAUGUUGGGGAAAAAGAUGCUAAAGUUAAAGAUGUUAUAGUGAAAACAGGAAAAGAUGGAAUGAGAUAUGCAGGGAAAGUAGCUGAAAUAUUGAACAAAAAGCCAGUAAUUGCUAGCUGGGAGCUGCACAAGUAUGACACCUUGUGCAAGAUGCAUCAUUUUAUACAAAAUUCAAUGAGAAUAAGAUUUUUUUUCAGCAGGAGCAGAAGCGCUGAUUGAUUAUGAUUUGAACGAUGGGAAGGGUUUUGAAUAAGUUGGCCCAGAAGCUUUUAUUGUCCUUAUUUUGUGAAGUUCAAUCACUCCAAAGGGAAAUGUACGACUGCUCUUUUCUUGAUUAUCUAUAUUUGUUUUAUUUUGAAUUUGAGACAAGUUUUAUCCUUCACCUUUGCGUGAAUGCAUAAAAUUGAUGGUCCAUGGCAUAGAUACAAUCCGAU
rnacentral:lncRNA from 1 species